AUUGACGGAACGGCACCACCAGGCGUGGAGCUUGCGGUUUAAUUUGACUCAACACGGGAAAACUUACCAGGUCCAGACAAGAUUAGGAUUUACAGAUUGAUAGCUCUUUAAAGAUUUUUUGGAUGGUGGUGCAUGGCCGUUCUUAGUUCGUGGAUUGAUUUGUCAGGUUGAUUCCGGUAACGGACGAGACCCCAACCUACUAACUAGCUCUGGUUGCUACGCAGCUAGCCAGCUUCUUAGAGGGACUCUCGGAAUGAAACCGAAGGAGGUGGGGCAAUAACAGGUCUGUGAUGCCCUUAGAUGUCCUGGGCCGCACGCGCGCUACACUGAUGCAUUCAACGAGCCUACCCUGUGCCGAGAGGUAUGUUUAAUGUGCGAAACUGCAUCGUGAUGGGGCUAGAUUCUUGCAAUUAUGGAUCCUCAACGAGGAAUGCCUAGUAAGCGCGACUUAUCAAUUCGCGUCGAUUACGUCCCCGCCGUUUGUACACACCGCCC
rnacentral:rRNA from 1 species